GACGUAGGAUCCGAGCGUUGUCCGGAGUUACUGGGCGUAAAGCGUGCGCAGGCGGUUUUGUAAGUCUGACGUGAAAUCCCCGGGCUCAACCUGGGAAUUGCGUUGGAGACUGCAAGGCUGGAGUCUGGCAGAGGGGGGUAGAAUUCCACGUGUAGCAGUGAAAUGCGUAGAGAUGUGGAGGAACACCGAUGGCGAAGGCAGCCCCCUGGGUCAAGACUGACGCUCAUGCACGAAAGCGUGGGGAGCAAACAGG
rnacentral:rRNA from 1 species